rnacentral:rRNA from 1 species
GCACAAGCGGUGGAGCAUGUGGAUUAAUUCGAUGCAACGCGAAAAACCUUACCUGGCCUUGACAUGCUACUAACGAAGCAGAGAUGCAUUAGGUGCCCGAAAGGGAAAGUAGACACAGGUGCUGCAUGGCUGUCGUCAGCUCGUGUCGUGAGAUGUUGGGUUAAGUCCCGCAGCGAGCGCAACCCUUGCCAAUAAUUGCCAUCAUUUAGUUGGGCACUUUAUUGGGACUGCCGGUGACAAACCGGAGGAAGGUGGGGAUGACGUCAAGUCCUCAUGGCCCUUAUGGCCAGGGCUUCACACGUAAUACAAUGGUCGGUACAGAGGGUUGCCAACCCGCGAGGGGGAGCCAAUCCCAGAAAGCCGAUCGUAGUCCGGAUUGCAGUCUGCAACUCGACUGCAUGAAGUCGGAAUCGCUAGUAAUCGUGGAUCAGCAUGUCGCGGUGAAUACGUUCCCGGGC